rnacentral:rRNA from 1 species
UACGUAGGGCGCAAGCGUUGUCCGGAAUUAUUGGGCGUAAAGAGCUCGUAGGCGGCUUGUCACGUCGGGUGUGAAAGCCCGGGGCUUAACCCCGGGUCUGCAUUCGAUACGGGCUGGCUAGAGUGUGGUAGGGGAGAUCGGAAUUCCUGGUGUAGCAGUGAAAUGCGUAGAUAUCAGGAGGAACACCGGUGGCGAAGGCGGCUUCCAGGACAAAAACUGACGCUGAGGCGCGAAAGUGUGGGGAUCAAACAGG